rnacentral:rRNA from 1 species
UACGUAGGUGGCAAGCGUUGUCCGGAUUUACUGGGCGUAAAGAGCGCGCAGGCGGUCGUCCAAGUCGCGUGUGAAAUCCCCGAGCUUAACUUGGGAAUUGCGCUCGAAACUACGGUGCUGGAGUGUGGCAGAGGGAGGUGGAAUUCCACGUGUAGCGGUGAAAUGCGUAGAGAUGUGGAGGAACACCGAUGGCGAAGGCAGCCUCCUGGGCCAACACUGACGCUCAUGCACGAAAGCGUGGGGAGCAAACAGG